rnacentral:lncRNA from 1 species
UUUUUUAAAAAUAUACAAAAUGGAGAGUAGUAUUUAAUUAUCUGAUUAUGGAAAGGAUGGGAGGCGCUGAAAACGUGGAUAUGUACAAUAUAUACGCAGCAGCUUAGGGUUCUUUUAAUUGUAUUUAAAUGAGAUAAUUAGAUUUAUGUGCAUUCUCAAUUUCUCAUGUAUCCAAUAGUAACAGAAUCCAUAAUAUUAGAGUGUUAAAAUAAGACUGAAGACCACUGGUAGGAUAAAUAAAGAUUGGAUCAAACUUGAUGAACGUAUCCAUGGCCUUGAAUUUUACACAGAAAUAAAGUUGCACAAACACGAAGAUUAUAAGAACUUCUCUUGUUAUUAGAUUUAGAAACUCUCUCAAAACUAAAUCUUUCAAUGUGUUUCUCUUGAUGGAACAUCUCUCUAUGAGAACUCUUUAUAUAGGAAGAAGCUACAUCUUUUCCUAAUGGCGAAGCUACAUCUUUUCCUAAUAAUAAUAAGAAUAAUAAGGAAACAUUCCUAAGCUCGAUAUGUUUUCCUUUUUCCUUAACCCAUCAUACUUCACUUUAAUGAGUUAACUUGUUCCUCAAGUUAAUUAGAAUUAUCCAACAUUCCCCCCCUUAAUUCCAACUUGAAUCUUAGGUAUGUUGAUCUUCUGAACUCCGAUGAACUUGCGUAGACCGUUAAUAGGUGCAUCGCAUUUCUUCGAUACGAUGUUGCAUC